UUCAAACCGGGGUAGCCUAUACUUUUUCAAAUGAAAUAGUUCAAAAGUAUGACAAAAUCUACAACAUAUAUUCCUAGCUAGCAAGCACCCCCGGCGCCAUCUCACCUAGAAAAAAAUGUCAAACAACUCCGGUCCUCCCUCCUUUUCUAAACCCUUUAUAUACAACAACUACUCCACCUUCCUUCCUUCACUCACCAAACCAAACCCACACAUAAACUAACUACUGAUCACCCGGCCGGCCAAAUAACAAUGAGGUAUUCUUAUAAUUCUAAUUUAGUAGUGUUGGCUUUUAAUGCCAUUUCCAUUCUCAUCUUCUUUCUUUUGCUAUCCCACCCUAUGCAUGUCGAGGGUUCGAGGCCUAUCAAAGAUCAUCAUCAAUCUAAUUCUUCGCCUAAUUUUAAUUUUCCGGUGUUGGAGGAUUUCUUGAUGGGGAGAGCUUAUUCGGGCCCAAGUCACCGUGGUCGCGGCCAUUAAAGGCUAGCUAGAUCGAUCAUAGGUAGCUUAAUUAAUUGCUGCAUGCACCAAAAUGGUGAAGAGCAUAUAUAUAUAUAUAUAUAGUCUUGUCUCUCUACUUGAUUUGUUCUUUUUACUUUCUUUCCCCCCCGAUUAUUGUAUCGGCUACAAACAAGGAAAAUUUGUAUUCAGUGUAAAAUGAUACUAGUUUAAUGUAAAGAGUAAAACAAUUUUUUCUCUUUUUCUUCACUCAUUGGCUU
rnacentral:lncRNA from 1 species